GUGCUUGCCUCGGCAGCACAUAUACAAAAAUUGGUAUGAUACAGAGAAAAGUAGCAUUGUCCCUGUUCAUGGAUGAUGAAAAAUGAAUGUAAUACGAUAUGAACUU